rnacentral:lncRNA from 1 species
AGUUCCACCAUGUGUUUUCUUUGAUUGGUGGUUUAGUUCCAAGGAGCUCUGGGGAUACUGGUUCUGAGUUCCUGAUUCUAAUGUCAUUUCUGAAGCUGCUCUGAAGCUGGUGUGCUUCGAAGACACACCACUAUUACUUUACAAGACUGGGAUUGUGGCAGAGCCGGGAAAGUCAAGAACUGUGUCUGAUUUCUAACACACAUAGAGAGCAAAAAGUGUCCCAGUAUAGUGAAAGGGGGGGGGGCAAUGAGGGAUCAUCAUGACAUAGCCAGUCACUACAGCUUUUAGGAGGCUGAAAAGUCAAACCUAUACCUAAACCAGUCUAGAGAAAUGAAACCCUCCAGCGGUUCUAGUCCCGGAAGGAAGCCGAACUGCCUUGAAGCAUCUGGCCUUGUGCCCACAUGUUGUCACAGCUCAUAGCUCAUCUUUCUCUGUGCCCUUGGCAGCUGAUCUGAAUAGAGAGUGCACAUGAACUUCAAAGGAAGCAGGCAGGAUGGAGUUGGGGCCUUGCUGCUUUAAUCAAGAUGGAUUCGAGACCUCUGGUUAUCAAGUAGGAAACUGAAACCAGCAAUAGAGAAAGAUGCUGACUAAAAGGAAACUAGUCAUUGAAAGGGCACCAGGAACUCAAUAUACGACUAAAUUUUAAAUAGUACUCCCCUGGUACACGCUGCUGGAUUUACUUUUACUUACUGUCUACAUAAACAAAAUUAGCAUGUGCAUUAGAGCCUCCGAUAUUGCCUAAGAAAUUCACCAUAAUGUGCAGUGGCACGAAACGUGGUUUCCAUCUUCAUGUCCUCCACUGAUACUCCUCCCUUGACCUUGAGCAUCUCUGUCCAAGUUUCUUUGGUCAGUGGUGGGAGUAGUGCUCCCUUUUGACUCAGUACCACUAUGAGACAUCCUUGAAUGCUGGGCUUGCCUCUUUUCUGGGGCUUUGCCUUGAACAUGAACCACUAGUGUGAAAUGUAUCAAACAAUGAUGGAGUCAGAGUCAUUGUUCCCAAGUUGGUCUUCUGAAGGGAAGCACACUCUGGCAGAGGAGGAGCCAUGCAGAACAGAAGCUUUAUAGGACCAGGGAAGGAAGAAUCUCAGAGGAAGAAAAAAGGUCAGCUGUGCAGUUCUCCUGUGCAAAAAGCAGAUCAAGGGACAAGGCAAAUCACCCAGUACUUUCCCCCUGACCCUCUAAAGAGAAGAGAAGAGGCCACACAGGAACCCUGAGAGAGUGGACGGCCAGAACAGCUCUCUCCAGGAACAUGGGCAGUAUUUUUUAAAAUUCUUCCCAAAAGAUAUAUAAGUGUUCAAUAAACACAAGAAACGU